CCUUGCUGCCACUAACAUUUUCUCAAUCACUUUCUUUAGUCUAGAUGACCAAGAAAGCAAUGAAGGAAGCGUUCAUUUGUAGCAUUUACUGAUUUCUGAGGUCUCAUAGACCAGUAGCAGAAGGAGGCACAAAGCCAAAGGACUAAAAACACAAGACAAAGGGGAUCCACAAGGAGUGACAGGAAUUCUGAACUUCCAGCAUCAUUAUAAGUCAGAAAGGCACUCAAAGAAGGCAUCCUGGAGGUGGUGGUAUUUGGAUGCCCGAACGUCUGAACACAGGAAUUCUGAUGG
rnacentral:lncRNA from 1 species